ACUCCUACGGGAGGCAGCAGUAGGGAAUAUUGGGCAAUGGGCGGAAGCCUGACCCAGCCAUGCCGCGUGCAGGAUGAAGGCGUUAUGCGUUGUAAACUGCUUUUUUAUAGGAAGAAGGAGACCUUGCGAGGUUUGGUGACGGUACUAUAAGAAUAAGCACCGGCUAACUCCGUGCCAGCAGCCGCGGUAAUACGGAGGGUGCGAGCGUUGUCCGGAUUUAUUGGGUUUAAAGGGUGCGUAGGCGGUUUAUUAAGUCAGUGGUGAAAGACGGUCGCUCAACGAUUGCAGUGCCAUUGAUACUGGUAGACUUGAGUUCGUAUGAGGUAGCUGGAAUGGAUAGUGUAGCGGUGAAAUGCAUAGAUAUUAUCCAGAACUCCAAUUGCGUAGGCAGGUUACUAAUACGAUACUGACGCUGAUGCACGAAAGUGUGGGGAUCAAACAGGAUUAGAUACCCUGGUAGUCCACACUGUAAACGAUGAUGACUAACUGUUUGCCCUUUGGGGUGAGUGGUACAGAGAAAUCGUUAAGUCAUCCACCUGGGGAGUACGCCAGCAACGGUGAAACUCAAAGGAAUUGACGGGGGUCCGCACAAGC
rnacentral:rRNA from 1 species